AUUGAACGCUGGCGGCAGGCCUAACACAUGCAAGUCGAAUGGUAACAGGAAACAGCUUGCUGUUUCGCUGACGAGUGGCGGACGGGUGAGUAAUGUCUGGGAAACUGCCUGAUGGAGGGGGAUAACUACUGGAAACGGUAGCUACUACCGCAUAACGUCGCAAGACCAAAGAGGGGGACCUUCGGGCCUCUUGCCAUCAGAUGUGCCCAGAUGGGAUUAGCUAGUAGGUGGGGUAACGGCUCACCUAGGCGACGAUCCCUAGCUGGUCUGAGAGGAUGACCAGCCACACUGGAACUGAGACACGGUCCAGACUCCUACGGGAGGCAGCAGUGGGGAAUAUUGCACAAUGGGCGCAAGCCUGAUGCAGCCAUGCCGCGUGUAUGAAGAAGGCCUUCGGGUUGUAAAGUACUUUCAGCGGGGAGGAAGGGAGUAAAGUUAAUACCUUUGCUCAUUGACGUUACCCGCAGAAGAAGCACCGGCUAACUCCGUG
rnacentral:rRNA from 1 species